rnacentral:rRNA from 1 species
UGGCAGCGUGGAUUAGGCAUGCAAGUCGAACGGGAUCGCCUGGAUAGCAAGUAGUCGGGGGUGAGAGUGGCGGAUGGGGAGGAGCACGUGAGCAACCUGCCCUGGAGAUGUGGAAAACCUCUGGAAACGGAGGCUAAUACAGAAUGUGGCGCCCCAUGGCAUCAUGGGAGCGCCGAAGGGGGCCGCAAGGCUCCCGCUCCGGGAUGGGCUCGCGCACCAUCAGCUAGUUGGCGGGGUAACGGCCCACCAAGGCCUACGGUUAGCUGGUCUGAGAGGAUGACCAACCCCCGCUGGGACUGAGAUACUGCCCAGACUCCUACGGGAGGCUGCAGUCGAGGAUCAUUCGCAAUGGACGGAAGUCUGACGAUGCGACGCUGCGUGGAGGAUUGAAGGCCUUCGGGUCGUAAACUCCUGUCAUGAGGGAAGAGGCGAGGGAAGCUAAUACCUUCUUUAGUUGACUGUACCUCAAGAGGAAGCGACGGCUAACUCUGUGCCAGCCGCCGC